AGGAUAAACGCUGGCGGCGUGCCUAACACAUGCAAGUCGAACGUCCUACGCAAGUAGGGAGUGGCGGACGGGUGAGUAACACGUGGGCAAUCUACCUUUCGGUGAGGAAUACCGGCGAGAAAUCGCCGACAAUACCGCAUACGCUUCGCAAGAAGCAAAGUCGCAAGACGCCGGAGGAGGAGCCUGCGCCCGAUUAGCUCGUUGGUGGAGUAAUGGUCUACCAAGGCGACGAUCGGUAGCUGGUCUGAGAGGACGACCAGCCUCACUGGAACUGAGACACGGUCCAGACACCUACGGGUGGCAGCAGUCGAGAAUUUUUCUCAAUGGGCGAAAGCCUGAAGGAGCGACGCCGCGUGGGGGAUGAAUGGCUUCGGCCCGUAAACCCUGUCAUUUGUGAACAAAUUAAUCUACCUAAUAUGUGGAUUAUUGAUAGUAACGGAAGAGGAAGGGACGGCUAACUCUGUGCCAGCAGCCGC
rnacentral:rRNA from 1 species